GAGCCUGUAGCGCAGUCUGGAUAGCGCGAUUGCCUCCUAAGCAAUAGGUCGUGGGUUCGAAUCCCAUCAGGCUCG
rnacentral:tRNA from 1 species